GGAAGGCACUCGCGCGCGGUGGUGGGCCGGGCUUCAAACCCGGCUGGGGAAGGCAUCCGUUCCCGGGCAGUUUCGACUCCGGUAGCCUUCCGCCA
rnacentral:tRNA from 2 species